UGCCACAGUAAUAUCACCCUGCAGCCCAAAACCGGUUACUCACAGGGCUGAGCCUGGUCAGUACCUGGAUGGGAGACCACAUGGGAACACUAGGUUGCUGUUGGAA
rnacentral:rRNA from 1 species